UACGUAGGUGGCGAGCGUUGUCCGGAUUUACUGGGCGUAAAGGGCGUGCAGGCGGUUUGUUAAGUGCAGAGUGAAAGCUCCCGGCUCAACUGGGAGAGGUCUUUGCAUACUGGCAAACUCGAGGGAGGCAGAGGAAAGUGGAAUUCCCGGUGUAGUGGUGAUAUGCGUAGAUAUCGAGGAGACACCGGUGGCGAAGGCGGCUCCUGGACAGAAUCUGACGCUGAGGCGCGAAAGCUAGGGGAGCAAACAGG
rnacentral:rRNA from 1 species